rnacentral:ncRNA from 1 species
AGGAGCCGUAUGAAUCGAGAGAUUCACGUACGGAUCUGUGAGAGCCUGAGGGGGCGGUUCCCUCGGGCCACUCGAC